rnacentral:rRNA from 1 species
GCUGAUGCACGGAAAGCUAGGGGAGCAAACCAGGAUUAGAUACCCUGGUAGUCCUAGCCCUAAACGAUGAUUGCUUGAUGUGGUGGGUACCCAAUCCUGCCGUGUCGAAGCUAACGCGAUAAGCAAUCCGCCUGGGGAGUACGGUCGCAAGGCUGAAACUCAAAGGAACUGACGGGGGCCCGCACAAGCGGUGGAGCAUGUGGUUUAAUUCGACGCAACGCGAAGAACCUUACCUGGGCUCGAAAUGUACAGGAAUCUGGUGGAAACAUCAGCGUCUCGCAAGAGAUCUGUAUAUAGGUGCUGCAUGGCUGUCGUCAGCUCGUGUCGUGAGAUGUUGGGUUAAGUCCCGCAACGAGCGCAACCCUUAUCUCCAGUUGCUACCAUUUAGUUGAGCACUCUGGCGAAACCGCCUCGGAUAACGGGGAGGAAGGUAGGGAUGACGUCAAGUCCUCAUGGCCUUUAUGUCCAGGGCUACACACGUGCUACAAUGGCCGGUACAAACCGCUGCAAACCCGUGAGGGGGAGCCAAUCGGAAAAAGCCGGCCUCAGUUCGGAUUGGAGUCUGCAACUCGACUCCAUGAAGCUGGAAUCGCUAGUAAUCGUGGAUCAGCAUGCCACGGUGAAUACGUUCCCGGGCCUUGUACACACCGCCCGUCACAUCACGAAAGUGGGUUGCACUAGAAGUCGGUGGGCUAACCGCAAG